rnacentral:rRNA from 1 species
CGCUGCCCUCCCUCCAUCAGUCCACUCCCCUCAACCCCCCCUCCUCCUCCUCCACCGCAACGGAACCAUGGCUCUCGCGGCCGCCGCCGUUGCCGCCUCGCGCCCCUCCCCGACCGGCUUGCCCCGCCCGUUAUGCCGCGCCACCGUGCAUCCGUGCCGCCCUCGGCGGUUCCGGCUGGAGGCGAGCUUGUCGGCCUCCACGCCGGCGCCCGCGCCGGCGACAGCGGACGAGGGGGCCGCUGCGGGGACGUGCCCUGUGAUCAGGUUCGACAUGGCCGACUUCACUGUCGCCGACCGCGUCAGCGUCGGGCUCCACGGACGGUCCGAUGAGAUGAUCUUCGAGGCCACAGUGCGCGAUCCUAGCAGUGAGCUGUACGGGUCGACGGUGGUGUUGCGGCAGCUGACUAGCUCACAGGCGAAGCGGAGGGGCCGCCGCGCCCUAGAGGUGGCUUUUUUUUCCUGUUAAAUUCUGGUGCUGUUUAGCCAUCCGAGGCGGUGCACAAACCGGUCUGACGCACUCUCAUAGGUCGUCACCAUCAUCUUUCACCAUUCCAUCUUCAGAACAGGUAUUGACGCAUCGACCUUGACAGGCCUGCCAUCGACGCCGCCACGGCGCCAAACAGCGCCACCGCCCUGCGCUCGUCCAUCCAGACACAUAUGUCUUCGAGAUCCAGCUGCACCAUGCCGCCAAAACUCGUCGUCUUCACGCGGUAGAUGACACGCCGCUCCACCUGCGAACCUCCGCACCACCGCCACUGCCUCUUGCCACCUGGAUCCCACCGCCAGAACAGUCCUCUCCCGAACACCCAAGCCUCCCCAGACGACGCCUUCAUGAAGGGUACGAAGCGCAAGUCAUCGCCACCGUCCAGUCACGCGGAUUCGGAUUUUGGACUUUCACCCGGGAGGGGGGGCCAGGAGACGGAAUUAACCACAUUGCACCACACACCAACUUCUCCUACCCAAACGGCGCCCCCAUGGAGUUAACGACACGGAGCGCCGCCGCCGCCGCAUCCGCAAGGGAUAACAGGAAUUAACCUUGGAUCGGAGAAGAGGGGGUGGGGAGAAGGGAUCUCGCCGAUGCCUCCAGGGAGGGAAGCAGCGCCAGCAGGCGGUGUCACCGACGUGGAUGGCCAAGCCACCAAAGGAUUUCUCCCGAACCCAACUCACACCACCGUGCCCAGCCACCAUCAGCCCGAUGAGACAAGAUCACCGACGCGAGAGCCGGCGGGAAGUGGACCAGAUGGAGAACUUCAGAUCUGACGCCAGGAGAACCGUCGGAGCAGACCGCCGGCCGCAUAACGAACCGCGCCUGCCAUCGCCCCCGUCCAAGCUGCCUAGACUAGCCUCUCACCGCAACCCCAGCCGCCAGCACCAACGACGGACGAGGCCCGCCCAGGCCCAUCGGCCCUACAGGCCCGCAGGGGCCAGGCUCGCCGGACGUCGCCUCGGAGCCCCAUGGCCGGCCGGACUAGCCACCGUAGGGCGAAGGGAUGUUGACGAGCCACCGCCUCGCUGCCGAAGGCGCCGCUGCGCCGGGGAAGACCACCGCGGGCCAAAGCCCAGAUCGCACCCUCUCCCAGGGCGAAAGGGCCCCGCUGCCGCCGUCCUUGGCUGCGGCUCGGACUUGGCCGGCACCAGCCUCAAGCGGCGGCGAGGGGUCGAAGAUGUAUGAGGCCCGGCGGAGCGCUCGCAUUCGCCCUUGAGUCGCCCACGCGGGGCGACGCGAGGGUACCGUUUACAUGAAGAUAACAUUCCUGUUUCAUCAUGAUUUUGCAUCAGCGUGUAUUAAUCAUUUCCGUUUAACCGUGUAUUCAUAGUUUGAUUUGCUGACAUAAGUGAGAUCGUGCUCAGAACAACUCUGAAGUAUAUUUUCCCUCUAUGUGUUGAUUGAUGACAAAAGUACUAUGUCAUCCUACUCUGUGCUUUUUCUGAAUCAUCCAUAUGAAAAGAAUUAGCUGCUGUCUCAGAUAAUAGUAGGUGAGGCGUUCCGAUCAAGCCAUUCCUCGUGUAAAUAACUGAGUACGACAUUUGAGCUGCAUUCUUUAAGCAUGCCGGUGUACAUAAGUGCACUUGUAUCACUUGCCACAUGUGUAUUCGUCUUUUUAAGGUACAAAAUAUUUGAAUUGAAAACCUGACCCCAGGUUCCACUGAUGAGAUGGAACCAGGGAGUUAUCUCCUUGUUUAUGUGAAAAAAAUAAAUUUUAAUCAAACCAGACCAUAAAGGUAAUGUGUGAUUAAAACCCUGCAAAGUUUGCACAUUCUGUGUGUCCCAGUGUUCCGUAGCUUUCAUUUCAUCUAAAGUUAAAACAGUCGAUCAAUUUCGUGUUUUCUUCAUCUUUUUUAGGUUGGUAUUCUUGGGAAUGCUGUUGAUUUUCAUGACAAUGACCCCAGCAACAGUGCAGUAGCAAGUAACAAUGAGAGGCGGAAAAUGAUGAUAGCAUUUGACAUGAGAUGCGCGGGCUUCAUAAUGGCAAAGAUGGUUUUGAGAGAGCUCAUGGAUUCAUCGACAUUCCAAAAAUUCAAGUCAUUCUUGAAUAAGGGGAAUGAUCCAUCAUGUCUGCGUGAGUUCCUUUUACCGAUUCUAAGCCAAAAUUCUCCAUCUGGGAAUAUUGGUCUGCAGAUGCUAGAUAGGCACUGGGGUGCUGGCUGGAAUCUUUUGGCCUUAUUACUGGCAACAAAAUCUGACAAAAGGAUAAGUUGUGUCGAUGCACUGCGUCACCCCUUCCUUUGUGGACCUAAAUGGCGUAUAAGUCCAACAGUGAAUGUCGUACGCUGGGGCUUGGGCUCUACUGCUGUCCGCCUGGCUGAAGAUUAUAUUUAUGGGCAUCAUCAGCGUAGACGGUUAGCAUAUUUCAUUGAGUUGAUGGAGGUGCUAAACCCUAAUUCAAGUACAGAGAAUUGGCUUCGCCUCCUACCUGGUCGCUGGUGCCUCUUAUACUGCACCGGAAGGCACAUCGGCCUAACACUUCGUCAGCCUAUCCCCAGAGUCUUCAUCAGUGAUGCGUUCCUCACAUUCGCCGAAGCCCCAGAAUCUGUGAAUCCCAUUUUAUCUCUGACCUCAGAUAUUGGUUUCAAAAUCAUGCCGGAAUCCGACUGGCCCCACGACAAAUCUGGAACCGAAGGAAAUCUGUCAAUUACCACAUCGGCAAGGAUAACUCCUGGGAGGAUUUACACCAAUGCCGAGGAUGGUAAAGAGAGUAGUAGCAGGAUUACAUCUUCCAGAUAUCUUGGUGGUAAAUGGGGAAAAGCCGCAAAGAUGAAGGAGCUACCAGCCAGCCUCCCCACCGCUAGCGUUAACGUGGAUGAAGACGAAGUCGACGUGUCCAUGAGUUGCGGCUCAACUUUGAACGUCAAGUCUGCACGCAAUGUGCUGCAAGAGGUCCGUACGCAGACGCCACCGGAGAUGUUCGAUCUGUCAAAGAUUGUCUGCGGUACAUACAUUGAUUCAAGGUUGAUGGUUCUUCGCGGUGUUAAUGGGUCGGCUUUACUUUUCGUUAGAUCAAACCGUACGUCUGACCCAUGAGGAGCAUAUUUGUAACCCAUUGUCUCCUGUGGCAUUCUUGUAUCUGUAGGUGUACAUUAUUCAUUUUUAGCAAGUGUACAUAAUAAAGGUUCUAGGGAAAAAAUCAGAGUGUUAUGUUAAAAAUGUACUUCCUUCGUCCCAAAAUAAGUGUCGCU